UACGAAGGGGGCUAGCGUUGUUCGGAUUUACUGGGCGUAAAGCGCACGUAGGCGGAUCGAUCAGUCAGGGGUGAAAUCCCAGGGCUCAACCCUGGAACUGCCUUUGAUACUGUUGAUCUGGAGUAUGGAAGAGGUGAGUGGAAUUCCGAGUGUAGAGGUGAAAUUCGUAGAUAUUCGGAGGAACACCAGUGGCGAAGGCGGCUCACUGGUCCAUUACUGACGCUGAGGUGCGAAAGCGUGGGGAGCAAACAGG
rnacentral:rRNA from 1 species